rnacentral:tRNA from 1 species
AUUUAUCUAUUAUAAUUAAGUAUAAUAAGCUUCCAACUUAUAGGUCUAUUUAAAGGAUAAAUA